AAUUUGCAUUUGAAAUUAAACUUUGCAUAACUUGAAGGUUGGGGCGCCAUUUUGUGAGCAUUGUGCUUCUAUGGCUGAAUUUGACAUUUGCUGGAAGCUAGUAGCUGCUAUAUUUGUAGUUUACUUCAUUUAUGUUCAUCUAAACAGUGAACAUCUAAGGUUGAACUUGUUUCUUAUAUCAUUUUUAUGAGAAAUGAUUAAAUUCCUCAGUAUUCCUUUGUUCUAUAUGCAAUUGUUGUAGUGAUGAUGGAAAAAGCCUUAUUGAAAAUAGAUAAAACAUGCUUCUACCAGAUGGAAAAAAGUCCUAUUGUUGUUAACUCUUGUUCUGUUUUUAUGUUUUUCAAGUUUAAUUUUUGUGGUUCCUUGUUUGGUACCAAAAAGAGCUCAUAGUCUCACUUGGUUUGAUAUUCUCCUUGUUUUACAAGAGGCCUUAGUGGAAGGUUAGAAGAAUUAGUAGCUACAGUCUCAGAAUGAUUUUUAGCUGGGAACAUUUAUUAGAAAAAGAAUAGCCGUGAGCUAUUAUUUUUCGAAUUUCACCACUAUAAUAUAGAGAAUUUGAGAGAAGUCCAAUAGCUUAUUUCUCUUUAAUGGGAAACGACGCCUUAAGUUCGAUCACUUCCAUUAUGUUUGUCACAGUUGUUUUAGUUGUGGUUCUUUAAAAUAGAUAUUAGGUUCUUGAUUAAUGCAUCCCAAAGCUUUUCUAAUUAAUAUUUCUUAUAUCCCUACAGCGUUGAUGUUCUGGAUAACACAUGAUGAAUUUAGACUGCGUUUGGGAUUGAAGUUACAAGUCAAGAUGCAAGUUUGGAAGAUGCACAAGCUCAUUAUUAUUUUGCUAGGAAUGUUAUGCAAAACUCAAUAUCAUAGUCUAGCUCGGGCUAUUAGCUAAGAUUUUUGUUAAGGUGUUAGAGCAAAUAUUGAAACUAACAUCAUAGGUCGUUAACCAUUUUAUUGUAAUUC